rnacentral:rRNA from 1 species
UUCGGGACGCCGGCGAGUGGCGAACGGGUGAGUAACACGUGGAGACCUGCCCUAGGGUGGGGGAUAACAGCUAGAAAUGGCUGCUAAUACCGCAUACGCCUUACGAGGGAAAGAUUUAUUGCCCCAGGAGGGUUCCGCGUCGGAUUAGCUUGUUGGUGGGGUAACGGCCUACCAAGGCGACGAUCCGUAGCUGGUCUUAGAGGAUGAUCAGCCACACUGGGACUGAGACACGGCCCAGACUCCUACGGGAGGCAGCAGUGGGGAAUAUUGCGCAAUGGGGGAAACCCUGACGCAGCGAUGCCGCGUGGGUGAAUAAGGCCUUAGGGUUGUAAAGCCCUUUCAGUGGGAACGAUGAUGACGGUACCCACAGAAGAAGCCCCGGCUAACUCCGUGCCAGCAGCCGCGGUAAUACGGAGGGGGCGAGCGUUGU